rnacentral:lncRNA from 1 species
GAAUACUUGAGGAACCUCCUACUACCAGUCGAAAAGUUGUUUCUCAAUAAACAAAGGAGGGAGAAACGAUCUGCCAAUGCCUUGAGAUCCCUUGCACAUAUGAUCAUUGUCUGGCAAGCCUCGUUAGUUCCAACCUAGAUGCUUCGAUGAUGGAGAAAGAGAAGAUCAACUUGCUGAAGUAUCGAUUGAAACGUCUGGGGAGGGAUAACACUGAGCUAGUCAAGGAACUCAACCUU